rnacentral:lncRNA from 1 species
AUAAAAAUAAUGCAUUGUAUGCCGGAAGGGAUAAAUCUGGGGCUGAGUACAAGCAAAACAAGACCAAAGGAAGCUACCUGAGCAGGUAUUCCAGAUACUCAUGUCAUACACCAAGGUUGUACCAGUGCCCCUUUCUCUGUGACACAUCCAUCCACUGGAAACUUUCGUACAACUAGCUGAAAGAAGAGAAACAUCCUAUUUCAUGUCACUGGAGCCCUAAUGAUCGCAGCCAUUUCAGGAAAUGCCAUCAAUUACAGUGAGGAGCUCAUUCAGAAGUGAAAGAUGAGUUCCAUUCUCUGUUACUUAGAGCUGGAGGGAGGAUGGCAUUUCAAGAGGUGGCAAGUGGUCCUUCUUCACAGUCAUAUCUCUCAUUCUGCAAGCCAAAGACUCAAUCUGCAUAAUAUUCCAUGGUGUAUAUAUACCACAUUCUUUUCCCAGUCAUCAAUCACUGGACGCUUAAGUUGAGUAAUGGCUUUUUAUUGAGGGUAUUACAAAGCUCAAAUCUGAGAAAACCUUGUCUACCAUCAACCCUGACCUACAGAGGAGAGGCACCCCCAAGCUUAUUAGUGAUCCUGUCUCCGUCUUAUUGGCACAUCCUGAUGGCCUUGAUCUCUAGUUCUUCCUGUGGAGCAUAACCAUAUGGUUCUUUGCCAAGAUGUUAAGACCAAAGUCGGAGAGUGAACCCCAUGUCAAUGAAUUCUUGUUUUUCUGAUCUUACAUUCCAUCACUUUGAUCCAGUACUCUCAAAAUGCAAUCACAGUUGUACAUGUCUUCUCCUGUCAAUAAACGCU